CAUCAUUCCCUUGAAGCUUAUCCCGAUUUCCCCACCGCAUGCAGCUCAGCCGAAGUCUUCUGCCUCUGCUUUCUUUCGAUUUUCUCAUUCGAAGCUCCUUCCUUCAUCCCCUUCGAGCUAGCUGCCGCAUCCUGUGUCGUCUCCAGGCCCGGCCAACCGCCAGCAAAGAAGACCGACUCAGCUUUCUUCAAUUCAGCGCCCAUGUCUCCAGUUGCUACAGCUCAACACCACCGAAGACCUGGGCCCACGCGUCUUCAAUAUUGUCGAGCUACCACCGUCUGAAGAAACCCCCACCAGCAUCUCCACCAAAUCUAACCGAGUAGUUCGGCAAGCGAAGCCCUCGAUUCAACCACCGAAGCUCUUCCAUCUUGCCCCUCGUGUCUUCAGCUCCACGCUCGUGUCUUCUUUGGUAGAUCUUCAGCUGAAGUCUUCAAGCGACACCGCACGACCGAAGCUGCCACGCCAAAGUCUUCAUUCGGUUCGGUCAACAAGCGAGCGUCCCUCUCCGCGCGUCCAAGUCCAUCGAUCUUCAAGUCUUCUUGUCGCCAGCAACACCAAGCGAAGCAGCACCGUCCACGAGCCGCCGUCCCAGUCAACCGCCAACCUCAACGACUCCUUCGCUGCUUCGGUUUCUCCCAUCAACGACCGAAAUUUCGGUCUCCACCGAAGGCCCAUCAACAGGCCCAGCAGCCGCGUGAAAUCAGCUGCUCUUCAGCCCAUUCGCUCCAGCAAGUUGGUUUGGUCCAACCUUCACGCAAGUCAGGCCCACAAGAAGUCAGCCCAGCAGAAUUCCAGUCCAAUUAAUUGGGUCUUCAGCCCAAUUCAUCAAGGCCCAAUUCCAGCAAAUCAAUUGAAGCCCGCGAAGCAACUCAAGCCCAGUCCAUUUCAAAAGCAAAUCUCAGAUUUGGGCUGAGAUUUGUAGGGCUAAGUUUAGGCCCGGCCCAAGUUCGUCGACGCUGCCGAAAAUUGAGAUUUCGGCCGCCGUCGCGUCGUCGUCGCGGUGAACCGGUUUUCGCGAUACACCGGUUCGUCGAGUGGGGGACCUGGAGAUGAGAGAAGGUGAUCAGAAGCGUAGGUCAGUUAGGACCGCUUCUUUCUGGAAGGCCAGUCUUUUGUAGUCUUUUGGCCAUAGACUUUUGUACAUGACUCAGUGUGAAUAUAAAAGCAUGUUUGUUUGUGAA